rnacentral:rRNA from 1 species
UGGGGAAUAUUGGACAAUGGGCGCAAGCCUGAUCCAGCCAUGCCGCGUGAGUGACGAAGGCCUUAGGGUUGUAAAGCUCUUUCGGCGGGGAAGAUAAUGACGGUACCCGCAGAAGAAGCCCCGGCUAACUCUGUGCCAGCAGCCGCGGUAAUACAGAGGGGGCAAGCGUUGUUCGGAAUCACUGGGCGUAAAGCGCACGUAGGUGGAUAGUUAAGUUCGGGGUGAAAUCCCAGGGCUCAACCCUGGAACUGCCUCGGAUACUGGCUAUCUCGAGUCCGGAAGAGGUGAGUGGAAUUCCUAGUGUAGAGGUGAAAUGCGUAGAUAUCGGGAGGAACACCUGUGGCGAAGGCGGCCACCUGGUUGGAUACUGACGCUGAGACGCGAAAGCGUGGGGAGCAAACAGGAUUAGAUACCCCUGUAGUCCCUGAGCGGGCUGGCAAGGCGCAU